GAUGAACGCUGGCGGUAUGCCUAACACAUGCAAGUCGUACGAGAGUUUUUAACUCUAGUGGCGGACGGGUGAGUAACACGUGAGAAUUUGCCUUUAGGAGGGGAUAACAAUUGGAACGAAUGCUAAUACCCCAUAUGCUUUCGAGUGAAGAUGGACUCGCGUCCGAUUAGCUAGUUGGUGGGGUAAAGGCCUACCAAGGCGACGAUCGGUAGCCGGACUGAGAGGUUGAACGGCCACAUUGGGACUGAGACACGGCCCAGACUCCUACGGGAGGCAGCAGUGGGGGAGUAUUGCACAAUGGGGGGAAACCCUGAUGCAGCAACGCCGCGUGUGGGAGAAGGUUUUCGAUGUAAACCACUGUUCUUGGUGAAGAUAAUGACGGUAACCAAGGAGAAAGCUCCGGCUAACUACGUGCCAGCAGCCGCGGUAAUGUCAGAGUG
rnacentral:rRNA from 1 species